rnacentral:miRNA from 1 species
UGUCCAGUAGCACCUUAGAGACCAACUAAGUUUGUUCUUGGUAUAAGCUUUUGUGCAUGCACAUGGAAGCUUAUACCAAGAACAAACUUAGUUGGUCUCUAAGGUGCUACUGGAUA